rnacentral:rRNA from 1 species
GAUGAACGCUAGCUACAGGCUUAACACAUGCCAGUCGAGGGGAAACGGCAUCGAAAGCUUGCUUUUGAUGGGCGUCGACCGGCGCACGGGUGAGUAACGCGUAUCCAACCUGCCCAUCACUUGGGAAUAACCUUGCGAAAGUAAGACUAAUGCCCAAUGACAUCCCACGAAGGCAUCCGAAUGGGAUUAAAGAUUUAUCGGUGAUGGAUGGGGAUGCGUCUGAUUAGCUUGUUGGCGGGGUGACGGCCCACCAAGGCAACGAUCAGUAGGGGUUCUGAGAGGAAGGUCCCCCACAUUGGAACUGAGACACGGUCCAAACUCCUACGGGAGGCAGCAGUGAGGAAUAUUGGUCAAUGGGCGAGAGCCUGAACCAGCCAAGUAGCGUGCAGGAUGACGGCCCUAUGGGUUGUAAACUGCUUUUAUAAGGGAAUAAAGUGGGUCACGUGUGACUUUUUGCAUGUACCUUAUGAAUAAGGACCGGCUAAUUCCGU